rnacentral:rRNA from 1 species
UACGUAGGGGGCAAGCGUUGUCCGGAUUUAUUGGGCGUAAAGAGCUCGUAGGUGGUUCGGUAAGUCGGAUGUGAAAGGCCCGGGCUCAACCCGGGGACUGCGCUUGAUACUGUUGCGCUGUGAGUCCGGGAGAGGAUGGCGGAAUUCCCAGUGUAGAGGUGAAAUUCGUAGAUAUUGGGAAGAACACCGGUGGCGAAGGCGGCCAUCUGGACCGGCACUGACGCCGAGGCGCGAAAGCGUGGGGAGCAAACAGG